rnacentral:rRNA from 1 species
CCUACGGGAGGCAGCAGUGGGGAAUAUUGCACAAUGGGCGAAACCCUGAUGGAGCGACGCCGCGUGGGUGAAGAAGUAUUUCGGUAUGUAAAACUCUAUCAGCAGGGAAGAAAAUGACGGUGCCUAAUUAAGAAGCCUCGGCUAACUCCUUGCCAGCAGCCGCGGUAAUACGUAGGGGGCAAGCGUUAUCCGGAUUUACUGGGUGUAAAGGGAGCGUAGACGGCAGCACAAGUCUGGAGUGAAAUGCCGGGGCUUAACCCCGGAACUGCUUUGGAAACUGGGCAGCUAGAGUGCAGGAGAGGUAAGUGGAACUCCUAGUGUAGCGGUGAAAUGCGUAGAUAUGAGGAGGAACACCAGUGGCGAAGGCGGCUUACUGGACUGUAACUGACGUUGAGGUUCGAAAGCGUGGGGAGCAAACAGGAUUAGAUACCCCUGUAGUC